rnacentral:rRNA from 1 species
UACGUAGGGGGCAAGCGUUGUCCGGAAUCAUUGGGCGUAAAGCGCGUGUAGGCGGUCCGGUAAGUCGGCUGUGAAAGUCCAGGGCUCAACCCUGGGAUGCCGGUCGAUACUGCCGGACUAGAGUUCGGAAGAGGCGAGUGGAAUUCCCGGUGUAGCGGUGAAAUGCGCAGAUAUCGGGAGGAACACCAAUGGCGAAGGCAGCUCGCUGGGACGUUACUGACGCUGAGACGCGAAAGCGUGGGGGGCAAACAGG